GAGGUACCGUCAACGCCGCAGCCUAUUCGACUACUGCGCUUUCUUCCCUCCCGACAGAGGUUUACGACCCGAGGGCCUUCAUCCCUCACGCGGAGUUGCUGGGUCAGGCUUGCGCCCAUUGCCCAAUAUUCCC
rnacentral:rRNA from 1 species